UUCACACGUCAUACAAUGGUCGGUACAGAGGGUUGCCAAGCCGCGAGGUGGAGCUAAUCUCAGAAAACCGAUCGUAGUCCGGAUCGCACUCUGCAACUCGAGUGCGUGAAGUCGGAAUCGCUAGUAAUCGCAGAUCAGCAUGCUGCGGUGAAUACGUUCCCGGGUCUUGUACACACCGCCCGUCACACCAUGGGAGUGAGUUUCACCAGAAGUGGGUAGGCUAACCGCAAGGAGGCCGCU
rnacentral:rRNA from 1 species